GGUGUGACAAAGUGGAGAAUGGGGCCCGUGUAGUUUAAAGAUGUUGACAGUUCCGCUCAUGUCAUUCGGCAGACAUACAAUAAGGCCUUUGGAUUGCAACUCUGAUCUCUGGCAUAAACAUAUUGUCUCAGAAAGGAUAGCGUCUGUCGGGCUCUGUCCGUUGACAUAUCCUGCAGGGAUGGCAUGGGAGCCAGAGAAGGAAGCAUCAGGUUGUAAUAAUUUAGGAACACAUGUGAAAUGCUUCUCAACCAUACAAGAGCAGGAUUCAGCCAAUGAAUGAAGAGUCCAGGAACACUCUUGGGCAACUGGGAUACAAGAACUGUAAAAGGACUCCCUGCAUCAGCUCUAGAAUGAAAAAGCCAGCCUACUCCAUGUGUCUGAUUCCAAACUCCAGCAUUCUGGACAUGUCAUCCCCAGUGGAAUGAAGGGGGAGGAAAAGAGAACUUCACACACACAACGGUCUUCAUAAUGGAAAGCGAAGUGGAAAGGAAACAGGCAGCGGCUUCUGACAUUGUAACAGACGUUUGAGGCAAUAUUUUCUCUGUUUAAUGUUUGCCUGCACUGGGCUGUGGGUGCUGGAAAACGUUGCUCUUUCAUAGCUACAGCUGAUCAGGUGCCAUGAUAAAGAACUUUGCAGGGUAUGUGUAUAGGCCUAACUAAAGCUUAACCUACAUUCUGAGCUGCUCCAUUGCUUCAGUCCCCAAACCAAACAACAAUAAGCCCCAUUAUUCCUUAGAAACAUUGGUUUAAUUGCAGGGUGAGGAGUAAAAAUAAUGGUUGAAACUUUCAAGUGUGUAUCUUUGUGUAGGAUAGUACUUACAGGGACGAUCCUUAUGUGGAAAUAAUCUGUAAGUAUGAAAAAUAUAAAUGUAGCCUUUUAUAUUGUAGUUUGUGUUAAACUUGGAAGAAUCAUGUCAAAUUUCUAAAUACUUGAAACCUCUUUAAAAGGAGACAUUUGAAAUUGCAAACAGUGUUGUGUAUAUAGCAAUAAAAAGGCUUACCUGGAUGCCAGAUUUACAUACAAGGAUGGUAUAUUAUCCUUUGAUAUUAUGGUAUAUUAGCUUUUGGAAUUAAUUAUUUAUUUAUAUGCUUUUGCUGAAGAAUGCAUCUAAUUGAAUUGGCUAAUAAUGUGUAGAUUCAUAGCAUGGCAGCUUGGCUUGACAAUGCCAGGCUACUGAAAUGUUAAGGGUGCUUGUCAGUUAUAGAUAACCUAUGUAUUACUAAUCACACCUUCACAAUCACCUGAGAAGGCAUCCGAGGUCCCGAACAUAAUGGCUGCCCCUCCAUAAUCUAAUUUCUAAAAGGUUGUAGUGAUAAAAACUAUAUAGAAGCUUAACAGUCAACCAUGCUGAACAGCAUCUAGCAUGAGUGGAUUUAGAGGUCUUUGGUUAAUUUCCUAGAAAGCUGUCUGGCCAGCACUACUCCAGGUAUUUAACUGCAACUCAGAUUGCAUCUCCUCCUGCCUUCACACCUCUGCUGAAGAGAAUGAAGGUUUUGUCCUCAGCACCAGUGGUGAUGUAGUCAGGGAGUGACAACAUGUCCAUUUGGGAUGCAGAUGAGAAGGUUCCCAGCAAUCAGAAAGACUGGGUAAGUGGGACACACUAGCAACAAGCAAAUGAUCAAGCCUGUAAGCAUAAAGAUUGCAAAUGUCUGCUGGUUUCUUAACUUAUUAUUUUUGGCAGGGUUGCAUAUGUUCUCUGUGCUCAUUCCAUGAAUCCAGCUGAUUAUUAUUCCAAUCACCAGAGGAAGAGAGAGUCACAUUAAUUUGUAGUAAUUAAUAGCACUGAUGCAUUUGACA